AUGCUCACCUCAGCAGCAUAUAUACUAAAAAUUAGAAUACAGAGAAGAUUAGCAUGGCCCCUGCGCAAGGAUGAGAUGCAAAUUCGUGAAGUGUUCCAUAUUUUU